rnacentral:lncRNA from 1 species
GCACUAACAGCCUGAGAGAAAAGGACACUGCAUAUCACAGAGAGAUGCAUAGAUGUUACACUCAGAAAGAGAGUGAACAACUAGAAGAUGUGGAAGGCAAGCUUUUUAGUAUUAAGAGGAACCAGUUUGGCUCUGGAGUCAAGAAUUCUCAAAACAGCUUUCUGAACCUGAAUCGCACGCAGUAAAGCUGGUGUUCUCCUGAAGCCAACAUUUAUGGUAUCACCUUGCUGAUCCAGGCAAAAUGGCAAAAGUGUAGUGAACAUAAAGCCAGGGGCUGAGAUUGUGGAUGUCCUCUGUACCAAGUUUCUUAUUAUGAAAAUUCCAAGGGCCAAUUUUGAAACAAACCAGGCAGAGACCCAGAUGCAGAAUCCUGCAGGCUGAGGGAUGUUAGGAAGAGUUAGCCCACCACUGCUGCGCUGAAACCAGGAUGACGCAAACUGGGCCUCAGGCCAGGUGUAUUCCUUGGAGUAUAACUGAAGGUUUACUUGGUAAUUCUAUGUUUAACUUUUUUUGGAACUUCUGGACUAUCUUCCAAAGCAACAGUACCAUUGUACAUUUUCACCAGCCACGUAUGACAGUCACACUCUCUCCACAUUCUUGCCAAAACUUGUUAUCAUUUUUCAAAUAAAAGACAGCCUAGUGUGUAUCUGAAA